CAGAAUCAGCUGGGAAAGAAAACUCUGCUGACCUUGACUAGUCCGACUCUGCAAAGAUAUAUGGCGGAUAGCAUUAAGCACACGUUAGUGUGAUGGUCACACCUCGUGUGUGACUGGCGUCUUGGUCGCAACUGUCUGGCCAGGGCUAGUGAUAUGCGUGUUUUUCCCUCUACUGCCUGUAGGUUGUUGCCGCAAGGCAGUCCAUAGCUGGUAGACGGUGGGCGCGUGUGUCCGGUCUUGGUGUUGUUUGGCGUCGUGACCUGAUCUGAAGACAGUGUCAGGCGUGGAAUUUGACUGGGGCAGUACAUCUGUCAAAUCGUAACGCAGGUGUCCCAAGGUGAGCUCAGCCAGGACAGAAACCUAGCGAAGAGUAGAAGGGCAAAAGCUUACUUGCUUUUGAUUUUGAAGCAAGAGGUGCCAGUAAAGUUAAAACAGGAAUAACUGGCUUGUGGUGGCAGCGAUUAUUGCGACGUCACUUUUCGAUCCUUCGAUGUUUGCUCUACCUAUCAUUGUGAAGCAGAAUUCACCAAGCGUUGGAUUGUUCACCCGCUAAUAUGGAACGUGAGCUGGUUUAGAACGUCGUGAGAUAGGUUAGUUUUACCCUUCUGAUGGUUGAACUGUGUAAACACUGACGUACAGUCUGGUCGUUGCAAUGGUAAUCCUGUUGAGUACGAGAGGAACCGAAUGUUCAGACAUUUAGUACAUUUGCCUGGUCGAGCGGCCAAUCGUACGAAGCUACCAUCUGAGGGAUGAAGACUGAACGCCUCGAAGUCUGAAUCCCAUCCAGAAAUGCGCCACGAUAGUUUGGCCUGCCAUGGGCAGAUAUAGUACUUUCCGGUCAGGUUUCAUUCGGAUGGGACGAGCGUGCCGUACCGAACCUGGUCGGUCUGGUAAUGGUAUGCCAGAGCUGUGACCAUAACCACAUGCACCGGGUCAUAGGGUUCUGGGGGUCUACACGAUAUCCAAUUAUAGCAUGAGCGUGGGGGCACAAAAUCGUGUGUAGACGAUUUAAUAUUUUGUCAAGGAGACGUGAGUAUUCGAGCAGCUAUCACACUGUGAGGUGUUGAGUCCUAUCUCUACCUCACGUAAUUAUUU
rnacentral:ncRNA from 1 species